rnacentral:rRNA from 1 species
UAAACGGACCAUCGAGUAUCCAUUGGAGGGCAAGUCUGGUGCCAGCAGCUGCGGUAAUACCAGCUCCAAUAGCGUAUAUUAAAGUUGUUGCAGUUAAAAAGCUCGUAGUUGGACUUGUGUGCGCUGUCCGCGGGUGGCCUGCGCCCAAAAGGGCGUUUCGGUUCGGCCCCGGUGGCGCCUUGAAAUCUGCAGCUGGGGGGACGUUGGCCUUAACUGGUCGGCGACCGCACGCCGGCUGCUCGGUUACUGUGAGAAAAUUAGAGUGUUCAAGGCAGGCAUUGGGUGCAAUUGAAUACAUUAGCAUGGAAUAAUAAAAUAUGGCUCCUGCCGUAUUUUGUUGGUUUUGACUGGUGGGAGUAAUGAUUGAUAGGGACGGUUGGGGGUGCUAGUAUUGAGCGGCCAGAGGUGAAGUUCAUGGAUUCGCUCAAGACUAACUUAUGCGAAAGCAUUCACCAAGGACGUCCUCUUUAAUCAAGAACGAAAGUUGGGGGAUCGAAGACGAUCAGAUACCGUCGUAGUCUCAACCAUAAACUAUGUCGACUUGGGAUCGGCGGUAGUUUUUUCAUUAAGACACUGUCGGGACCACGGGAGAAAUCAAAGUGUCUGGACUCUGGGGGAAGUAUGGUCGCAAGGCUGAAACUUGAAGGAAUUGACGGAAGGGCACCACCAGGAGUGGAGCCUGCGGCUUAAUUUGACCCAACACGGGGAAACUUACCAGGUCCAGAGAUGUAGAGGAUUGACAGAUUGAAGCUCUUUCUUGAUCACUUCGGUGGUGGUGCAUGGCCGUUCUUAGUUGGUGGAGUGAUUUGUCUGGUUAAUUCCGUUAACGAACGAGACCUCAGCCUGCUAGUGUAGUCGGCUGGAUUGCCUUUGGCGAUCCGUGAUUUCGACUUCUUGGAGGGACAAUCGACGCGCAGUCGAUGGAAGUUUGAGGCAAUAACAGGUCUGUGAUGCCCUUAGAUGUUCUGGGCCGCACGCGCGCUACACUGCUGGGCUCAGCGAGUUUUACUUGGCCGAGAGGCCCGGUUAAUCUUGUGAAAUCCCAGCGUGCUUGGGCUCGCCUCCUGCAACUGGAGGCGCCAACGAGGAAUUCCUACUAGACGCAGGUCAUCAACCUGCAUCGAUUACGUCCCUGCCCUUUGUACACACCGCCCGUCGUUCCAUAAGAGUGAGGCAUCCGGUGAAUUCUCGGGAGAGCCUGGGCGUGGCCAGCAAUGGUCUGCUCGGGUUUGAACUUGCAUAAACUUGGUGCCUAUGAUUAGGG